ensembl:lncRNA
UUAUCUGGAGAUCACUUCCCUUGGAACCCUUCUGUGAGCCCAGGAUAUGGGUAAGCUCUUUAUUUCCUUAUUCCUUUGUAAAUGUGGUAAUCUCUUUGGUCCUAUACCUAUUUACUUUGCAAUCUGUUUGCCGUACAGGGGUUUACAGGCCUUACAGCAGGUAAGCUGAUCUACAACUGCCAGAUAUGAAUAGUAUUGAUGUAUCCAUUAUUGUGAAUCAGGAGUUUCUGCAUUUUCCUGUUGGAUCUUAGGAUGACUAGUCGGUGCAUCAGCUGUAUACAGAAGGCUGAGAAAUAGUAACUGAGGAAAAAUGAUAUCAGAAAUAUUACGAGGGUACUAGCAAGAGAAAAUCAAUGUUCAUAAGAUAUAAGGAAUAUGGAAAGACAAAGCUUGCUGGCUUUCAAGAGACUGAACUAUGUUUGGACAAGAGAUAGGAUAAAUACACAUUAAUUUAGAGAUACUGGAUCCUCCGUUUCCAUCUCUCACAGUCUUGCAGUGAGAAGCAGUUCAAGAAGGAGGGUUGUGACACUCUUGCUUAGCUGCUUCCAUGGUCAGAGCUCAUGACACUAAUACCUUCCCACUGCUAUCCAGGUGAUACCUGGAUCACCAUAGCACUGCAAGUGAUAGAGAUGGCUUUUGGGUACGCUUCCUCUCUUAGUCCUCCUCAGUAAGUUAAGGAGAGGUAGACUGGAACAUUAGAGAAAAUGUUUUUAAUACAGUUUAACAGUUUUAAGAUAGCUGAUGUUGCGGACAUGAUUUUAUAAGCAGUUCUUACAGGUUUUUUAUCAGUUCUAUGGCACUGGAGUAAUACAAUAGGAAUUUAUAUAGUUUGCUGUAAUAGGUAAGUCUCAGAAAAGAUUCUGCAGAGUGGUUUGUAAAAUUGCCAUUUUGAAACUUAAAAACAUCUUCAUUUUCCCAUCUAACAUUUAUUUCACACUGUAAUUGAUUAUGUUACUCUAUAUAUUUUGAAUACUAAAGUCAUCAGAUUGCAUAUGGAUACAUUCUUAAAAAUAUGAGCAUAGCUCUAACUUCUUUGGUGUUCUCAUCUGUGGAAUACAAGUUUCUGCCAAAUUUCUACCCAUCUGGCUGUUAUGGUUGGUCAUCUUUACAACCAAAUAAAAGAAGUCAUGGGACCAUAGAUCCAUUAUUGACUUCAGGAGGAGCAUGGCCAGACCUUGGAUUAAUGUAGAACAAAUUACUCAUUCAUAAACUGAUGGGGGACAACUUUGAUUUGACUUUGAGUCAAGCCUCUGUGGAGACAUAGAUUCAGCAAGUGAAAGAAAUUCAACAUAAUAGUAAAGUCAUUUGUUCACCAGCUGUUAAAAAUAAAUAGCUAUACAAAUGAUGUGCCAUAAACUAAGAAUACUGUUAUGCAUAAGAAUGUCUAUUUUUCUUUGGUGAUCGUCUUUUGUGCUGUAGUAAGACUGCAAAUGUGAGCAUUAUUAGGAAGGCUCUGUCAUUAUAGGUGACAUUUGUUAAUUGUGCUUUUAUGCAACCCUUGUGCCAUCAAAAAUAUUUUCAGGUUUUCAGUAAAAAAUACCUAGUUCCUCUUCCUAUAGUACUUCCCCAAACUAUAAAAACAGGCAAUUUCAGUUGUCCUACUAUCAUCUCACAGGAAAAAGUAUGUUUAUCACCAAGGCUGCAUUCAUGUUCUAUCUAUCCUACAUAGAAUCUUAUGUGAAAUAAGGUAAAUGAGACAUAAAUGCAAAACUAUGUUGUCUUGUCAUAACAUGAAGAAUACUUAGUACGAGGAAAAUAAUGGUGCUGCACAAUUACUUACUUGGUGCCUUUUGAAUAAAUUCCUCAAAAAAAGUUUAUAUAUUUGUAUGGGAACUGUUGAAUCAUGGCCUGAACCUCUGAUUGACCACCUGAAGCAAGCACUGAGUCAGCUGCAGGGGCACAGGUGAAGGUAAUUCAGCUGUGUGACUGAAAUGGGUGGAGCCUUGCUGCACCUCUCCUAGACCCUAUUUAAGGGCUGGCUGCCCCUGAGGGAAGAUCUCUGGAGAUUGCUUGCCUUGGAGUUUCUUGUGAGCCUACAACACUGGUGAGCGUUUUCAUUUAUUUAUUAUUAUCUUUUCCAAUGUGAUAAUCUUCCUAAGCAUAACUUCUCUGUAUACUUAUUGAUCAUCUGAUACUUUACAACAUCUGUAUUCUUAUUGACCUUACAUAUAUUUUACCUUUGUGAGAUAUAGUGGCUCCAUAUAUAUUUCCUUUUGCAAGGAAGCACAUUGAAACACACUGCAUGUUAUCUGACUGUGUACUGAGGCACAUGCAUGGAGCUGUGGCUGGAAUGCAAGUCUCCCUUUGCUGUGAUUCAGUAAAUAGUAUUCUCCUCAUAUUGCUUAGUUUCUAAUAAGGAGUUGCUGAGUAAAAUGACAUAUAGAGUUUUCUGUUUGAAUUAUGCAGUAGUCAUCUUUGACUUUUAUAGUGCAACAUACAAUUCUACAUAAUCUAUAUUCAUAUGCAAAAUACAAAGUAGCACAGCUGAAAAAGAUGAAAAAUAAAAUUUUGCAGCAUUC